CAAGUAAUUAAGUGCAUGUGGUGGAUGCCUUGGCAGUCAGAGGCGAUGAAAGACGUGAUAGCCUGCGAAAAGCUCCGGGGAGGCGGCAAAUAUCCUUUGAUCCGGAGAUGUCUGAAUGGGGGAACCCACCUACUUUAAGGUAGGUAUUGCAACAUGAAUACAUAGUGUUGCAAGGCGAACGAGGGGAAGUGAAACAUCUCAGUACCCUUAGGAAAAGAAAUCAAUUGAGAUUCCCUCAGUAGCGGCGAGCGAACGGGGAUCAGCCCAUUAAGUUAUGUGUGUUUUAGUGGAACGCUCUGGGAAGUGCGAACGUAGAGGGUGAUAUUCCCGUACACGAAAGGGCACACAUAAUGAUGACGAGUAGGGCGAGGCACGUGAAACCUUGUCUGAAUAUGGGGGGACCAUCCUCCAAGGCUAAAUACUCCUGACUGACCGAUAGUGAACCAGUACCGUGAGGGAAAGGCGAAAAGAACCCCUGUGAGGGGAGUGAAAUAGAUCCUGAAACCGCAUGCAUACAAGCAGUGGGAGCACCUUCGUGGUGUGACUGCGUACCUUUUGUAUAAUGGGUCAGCGACUUAUAUUCAGUAGCGAGGUUAACCGUAUAGGGGAGCCGUAGAGAAAUCGAGUCUUAAUAGGGCGUUUAGUUGCUGGGUAUAGACCCGAAACCAGGCGAUCUAUCCAUGAGCAGGUUGAAGGUUGGGUAACACUAACUGGAGGACCGAACCCACUGUCGUUGAAAAGCCAGGGGAUGACUUGUGGAUAGGGGUGAAAGGCUAAUCAAGCCUGGUGAUAGCUGGUUCUCCCCGAAAGCUAUUUAGGUAGCGCCUCGGACGAAUACCAUAGGGGGUAGAGCACUGUUUCGGCUAGGGGGUCAUCCCGACUUACCAAACCGAUGCAAACUCCGAAUACCUAUGAGUACUAUCCGGGAGACAGACUGCGGGUGCUAACGUCCGUAGUCAAGAGGAAAACAAUCCAGACCGCCAGCUAAGGCCCCAAAAUCAUAGUUAAGUGGGAAACGAUGUGGGAAGGCAUAGACAGCUAGGAGGUUGGCUUAGAAGCAGCCACCCUUUAAAGAAAGCGUAAUAGCUCACUAGUCGAGUCGGCCUGCGCGGAAGAUGUAACGGGGCUAAAACUAUGUGCCGAAGCUGCGGAUGUAUACUUUGUAUACGUGGUAGGGGAGCGUUCUGUAAGCCGAUGAAGGUGUGUUGAGAAGCAUGCUGGAGGUAUCAGAAGUGCGAAUGCUGACGUGAGUAACGACAAAACGGGUGAAAAACCCGUUCGCCGAAAGACCAAGGGUUCCAGUCCAACGUUAAUCGGGGCUGGGUGAGUCGACCCCUAAGGCGAGGCCGAAAGGCGUAGUCGAUGGGAAAAUGGUUAAUAUUCCAUUACUUCUGUGUAAUGCGAUGAGAGGACGGAGAAGGCUAAAUCAGCCUGGCGUUGGUUGUCCAGGUGAAAGGAUGUAGGCAUGUAUCUUAGGCAAAUCCGGGGUACUCUAUGCUGAGAUCUGAUAGCAAGCUGUACUUGUACAGCGAAGUGGUUGAUGCCAUGCUUCCAGGAAAAGUCUCUAAGCUUCAGUUACACAGGAAUCGUACCCGAAACCGACACAGGUGGUCAGGUCGAGUAGACCAAGGCGCUUGAGAGAACUCUGCUGAAGGAACUAGGCAAAAUGGUACCGUAACUUCGGGAGAAGGUACGCUGUUGUUGGUGAUGGAACUUGCUUCCUGAGCUGACGACAGCCGCAGAAACCAGGCCGCUGCAACUGUUUAUUAAAAACAUAGCACUCUGCAAACACGAAAGUGGACGUAUAGGGUGUGAUGCCUGCCCGGUGCUGGAAGGUUAAUUGAUGGGGUUAGCGUAAGCGAAGCUCUUGAUCGAAGCCCCAGUAAACGGCGGCCGUAACUAUAACGGUCCUAAGGUAGCGAAAUUCCUUGUCGGGUAAGUUCCGACCUGCACGAAUGGCAUAAUGAUGGCGGCGCUGUCUCCAGCAGAGGCUCAGUGAAAUCGAAAUCGCUGUGAAGAUGCAGUGUACCCGCGGCUAGACGGAAAGACCCCGUGAACCUUUACUGCAGCUUGACACUGAACUUUGACCUUACUUGUGUAGGAUAGGUGGGAGGCUUUGAAGCUGGAACGCUAGUUCCAGUGGAGCCGUCCUUGAAAUACCACCCUGGUAAUGUUGAGGUUCUAACUCUGUCCCGUGAUCCGGGACGAGGACCGUGUCUGGUGGGUAGUUUGACUGGGGCGGUCUCCUCCUAAAGAGUAACGGAGGAGUACGAAGGUGCGCUCAGCGUGGUCGGAAAUCACGCGUAGAGUAUAAAGGCAAAAGCGCGCUUAACUGCGAGACCCACAAGUCGAGCAGGUACGAAAGUAGGUCUUAGUGAUCCGGUGGUUCUGUAUGGAAGGGCCAUCGCUCAACGGAUAAAAGGUACUCUGGGGAUAACAGGCUGAUACCGCCCAAGAGUUCAUAUCGACGGCGGUGUUUGGCACCUCGAUGUCGGCUCAUCUCAUCCUGGGGCUGAAGCAGGUCCCAAGGGUAUGGCUGUUCGCCAUUUAAAGAGGUACGCGAGCUGGGUUUAGAACGUCGUGAGACAGUUCGGUCCCUAUCUACCGUGGGCGCUGGAAAUUUGAGAGGAUCUGCUCCUAGUACGAGAGGACCAGAGUGGACGAACCUCUGGUGUACCGGUUGUGACGCCAGUCGCAUCGCCGGGUAGCUAUGUUCGGAAGGGAUAACCGCUGAAAGCAUCUAAGCGGGAAGCCUACCUCAAGAUAAGAUUUCCCUAGGACUUUAUGUCCUCUAAAGAGCCGUUCGAGACUAGGACGUUGAUAGGUUGGAUGUGGAAGCAUAGUGAUAUGUGAAGCUGACCAAUACUAAUUGCUCGUGAGGCUUGACUA
rnacentral:rRNA from 3 species